CCUACGGGAGGCAGCAGUGGGGAAUAUUGGACAAUGGGGGGAACCCUGAUCCAGCGACGCCGCGUGAGUGAAGAAGUAUUUCUGUAUGUAAAGCUCUAUCAGCAGGGAAGAAAGACAUGACGGUACCUGACUAAGAAGCCCCGGCUAACUACGUGCCCGCAGCCGCGGUAAUACGUAGGGGGCAAGCGUUCUCCGGAUCUACUGGGUGUAAAGGGAGCGUAGACGGCGGUGCAAGUCUGAAGUGAAAGGCGGGGGGCCAACCCCCGGACUGCGUUGGAAACUGUAUGGCUGGAGUGCAGGAGAGGUAAGUGGAAUGCCUAGUGGAGCGGUGAAAUGCGUAGAUAUUAGGAAGAACACCAGUGGCGAAGGCGGCUUACUGGACUGUAACUGACGUUGAGGCACGAAAGCGUGGGGAGCAAACAGGAUUAGAUACCCCAGUAGUC
rnacentral:rRNA from 1 species